rnacentral:rRNA from 1 species
UACGAAGGGGGCUAGCGUUGCUCGGAAUCACUGGGCGUAAAGCGCACGUAGGCGGGUUGUUAAGUCGGGGGUGAAAUCCUGGAGCUCAACUCUAGAACUGCCUUCGAUACUGGCGACUUUGAGUCCGGGAGAGGUGAGUGGAACUCCGAGUGUAGAGGUGAAAUUCGUAGAUAUUCGGAAGAACACCAGUGGCGAAGGCGGCUCACUGGCCCGGUACUGACGCUGAGGUGCGAAAGCGUGGGGAGCAAACAGG